UUUUUAUAUGAAGAGUUUGAUCCUGGCUCAGAAUGAACGUUGGCGGCACGCCUAACACAUGCAAGUCGAGCGAAGAACUAGUUU
rnacentral:rRNA from 9 species